rnacentral:snRNA from 1 species
AUCUGCCGUAUUACCAACCAGAGCCAACUAUUCUUUUGCUUUUUACUACAGAAUUCCGUGUGCGAAACACAGAAGCGGCUCGUUGAAAUUUUUGGUACGUUCCUUCAUUGGAGCGC